CAAUAGCGUAUAUUAAAGUUGUUGCAGUUAAAAAGCUCGUAGUUGAAUUUCGGGUCCCCGCGCUCGGCGCUUCAUUGUGCCGUCGUGGUGUCCCUCCUCGCCGUAAGGCGUCCUUUACUGUGAAAAAAUUAGAGUGUUCAAAGCAGGCAAUCGCUUGAAUACAUUAGCAUGGAAUAAUAAGAUAGGAUCUUGUCUAUUUUGUUGGUUGCGGACAACGAUAAUGAUUAAUAGGGAUAGUUGGGGGUGUCCGUAUUGAGCUGUCAGAGGUGAAAUUCUUGGAUUUGCUCAAGACGAACUACUGCGAAAGCAUUCACCAAGGAUGUUUNCAUUAA
rnacentral:rRNA from 1 species